CCUACGGGAGGCAGCAGUGAGGAAUAUUGGUCAAUGGACGAGAGUCUGAACCAGCCAAGUAGCGUGAAGGAUGACUGCCCUAUGGGUUGUAAACUUCUUUUAUAUGGGAAUAAAAUGUUCCACGUGUGGGAUUUUGUAUGUACCAUAUGAAUAAGGAUCGGCUAACUCCGUGCCAGCAGCCGCGGUAAUACGGAGGAUCCGAGCGUUAUCAGGGUUUAAUGGGUUUAAAGGGAGCGUAGGUGGAUUGGUAAGUCAGUUGUGAAAGUUUGGGGGUAAACCGUAAAAUUGCAGUUGAAACGGGCAGUCUUGAGUACAGUAGAGGUGGGCGGAAUGCGUGGUGUAGCGGUGAAAUGCUUAGAUAUCACGAAGAACUCCGAUUGCGAAGGCAGCUCACUGGACUGCAACUGACACUGAGGCUCGAAAGUGUGGGUAUCAAACAGGAUUAGAUACCCGGGUAGUC
rnacentral:rRNA from 1 species